ACUUUAUCCCAAUUUCUACCAGCGUCCGCUCAGCAGAAAGAGAGAAAGCGACAAAGAGAAGACAUCACCGCCAUCGCUUCCCCAAGGACAUGCAAGAAGGUUUCCAUCAGCAAUUUCCAAACAGUUUCUGCAAGAAUAACAGGACUACACUUAAAAUCGGGAGUAAGCUACUAUCCAUCCAGACCAAAAAAACAAAAUCAUGUUUAUCUUCGAAGAGCAAACCUAGGUAACAAGAGAUCACUGCAGGGAUAAGCAAGUGGAAAAUAGAACCACAUGGCCAACGGCGCCGGAGCCGACACCCGGCGCCCGAAACCCUAGCCAUGAGGGAAGUCUCGUGGGUGGUCUUUGGUGGUUGCGAUCAGCAUACCUAGCCGGACGGGGGGCACCACGGUGUGAGGGGGCCUCGAGUUGUGCUUGGAGGUGGCGGGAUUCACUGGACGCCGCAUGAAUCAGA
rnacentral:lncRNA from 1 species